AAGCAACAGUCUCUUUGCUAAAUGGAAUCUCUUCAAAUGUAAAAGUUUGAAAUUCAACAACUAUAGUGUCCGUCUCAGUUCUCAUGUCUUCCAGCAGCAUCACCCCUUCGAGCGCCUCAAAAGUCCUCUGCCACAGCAAACCCGGAGUUUACGCGAUUGUCCCAAAACUUUAACAAGGCUUCUCAUUGGUUAAACCAAAUCAGUUUACUUAGUUUACAUGAACAUAAAAUGUCCAAAUAAUUGAGUGGACUGUACAUCAAAGAAUUCAACAAACUGUGACUCUGAGAGGCCCAGUGCAAUCAAAACAUGAUUUUAAUAUAUAUUUCCACACUAUGAUGUUACAAUUAUAAUCAUGCCCUUUUAGUUAAGAGCUGUUUUGAAAAGACAGAGACAUUACAGCAUGUUUUGGUUGGAAGGAAUGUUUGACAUGUAAUUUCUUUGAUGCUUGCACAUGAAAGUAACAUAGCAUAGGCUUAACAGCAGAGGCUGUAGUAAAAUGACACGUUUCUAAUACAUGGUUUAUCAGGUUAUUACACCUUUAUGGAAUUAAUGCUCAUAUAUCAUAGUAUACUGUAUCUAUUGACAGUAUAUCUGUUUUAUUCUUAGGACUUUGUUUGACUGCAAGCACUAAAAAAUGUUGUGUGGUGAUAUGUUACAGGUCCUUGAGGAAUAAAUAACUUUGUGUGGUGAUAUGUUACAGGUCCUUGAGGGAGAUGGAGGGAUAAAUAACUUUGUGUGGUGAUAUGUUACAGGUCCUUGAGGGAGAUGGAGGGAUAAAUAACUUUGUGUGGUGAUAUGUUACAGGUCCUUGAGGGAGAUGGAGGGAUAAAUAACUUUGUGUGGUGAUAUGUUACAGGUCCUUGAGGGAGAUGGAGGGAUAAAUAACUUUGUGUGGUGAUAUGUUACAGGUCCUUGAGGGAGAUGGAGGGAUAAAUAACUUUGUGUGGUGAUAUGUUACAGGUCCUUGAGGGAGAUGGAGGGAUAAAUAACUUUGUGUGGUGAUAUGUUACAGGUCCUUGAGGGAGAUGGAGGGAUAAAUAACUUUGUGUGGUGAUAUGUUACAGGUCCUUGAGGGAGAUGGAGGGAUAAAUAACUUUGUGUGGUGAUAUGUUACAGGUCCUUGAGGGAGAUGAAGGGAUAAAUAACUUUGUGUGGUGAUAUGUUACAGGUCCUUGAGGGAGAUGGAGGGAUAAAUAACUUUGUGUGG